CAUUUUCUCUAGGAAUUUCCGUUUUCGUUUUCAUUUCAAUUCAUGGCUCAUCAACCGAUCCCAGGUCCUAGCUCGGGAUCGAGUUCAAGUUCAGGGUUUCAAUAUUUGAAUUCCCCUUUUGGUAAUACCACGUACACCAAGGUUUUCGUUGGGGGGCUUGCUUGGGAGACUCAGAGCGAGACCAUGGGCCGUUAUUUCGAGCAGUUUGGAGAAAUUCUCGAGGCCGUUGUCAUCACCGAUAAGAAUACCGG
rnacentral:misc_RNA from 1 species